UUGUAAAAGGUGCACGUAAUUCCUGCGAAAAGCUUACAUUUUGGCUCAGCCAUUUCAUUCCCGGUAAAUAAACGCGGCUCCGGUCAAGAGAUCAUUGGAAACAAGACGUGAAGGCUGGGGAAUUCUGGGAGUUGAAGUCCACGCAUCUUAAAGUUGCCGAGGAAAUUGAGAAACCCUACUACCCUAAAGGACGCGAGGCUGCAGGGCGUAGCCGCUCCUGCGCUCGGAGCUGGCGAAAAGGUCAGCGGACCUUUUCCAAAGGAAGAGCCUUCUAUUGUGAGCCAAGGCGCAGAGGAAGACGCGGAGCUGUGCAGAAUCCCAGCGGCGGGGCGGCGGGCUUUGGAGACCUCUAUAAUGGAAAGUAGAAAUAGAAGUAAAACGGUCGCCUGUUUUCCGCAUUUGCCUCCCGGCAAAUCCUUGUUUUGGCAAUAGAACUUUGCUCCCAAACAGCAACCAAGAGGAUCAAAGGAAAAUUGAUGUAUGCAUUUGUGUGAGGAAAGGGAAACUAGCCUAGAAGAAGCUUUAUAGUUGGGAAUUGUCUUCUGGUGCUGGACUAUCAAGGAAACUACAGAUCAAUCAGCCAGACAUCAGUACCUGGGAAGGUCCUGGAAAAGAAAAAAAAAAAAACAGAUAUAUGAACACCUAGAAACAAGCAAAGCUAUUACUAAAAGCUAUAGAAGCCAAAAUAGAUUUGUCAAAAACAGAUCAUGCCAGACAAACCUUAUUGUACUCUUCAAUAAAGUGACUAAAUUAGUGGA